CCUACGGGCGGCAGCAGUGAGGAAUAUUGGUCAAUGGACGAGAGUCUGAACCAGCCAAGUAGCGUGAAGGAUGACUGCCCUAUGGGUUGUAAACUUCUUUUAUAUGGGAAUAAAAUGUUCCACGUGUGGGAUUUUGUAUGUACCAUAUGAAUAAGGAUCGGCUAACUCCGUGCCAGCAGCCGCGGUAAUACGGAGGAUCCGAGCGUUAUCCGGAUUUAUUGGGUUUAAAGGGAGCGUAGGUGGAUUGUUAAGUCAGUUGUGAAAGUUUGCGGCUCAACCAUAAAAUUGCAGUUGAAACUGGCAGUCUUGAGUACAGUAGAGGUGGGCGGAAUUCGUGGUGUAGCGGUGAAAUGCUUAGAUAUCACGAAGAACUCCGAUUGCGAAGGCAGUUCACUGGACUGCAACUGACACUGAGGCUCGAAAGUGUGGGUAUCAAACAGGAUUAGAUACCCCAGUAGUC
rnacentral:rRNA from 1 species